rnacentral:lncRNA from 1 species
GCGGCGGUGGUACAGUCCGAGACGUCCCCGGCUAUAAAUAGCGCCAGGCGCAUGGCUCUUCGGGAGGUGCUGAGAUUCCGGGGCCCGGCGGCCGUGGGCAGCGGGUGCCCGUUAGGAAGCGGGCAGUCGGCCUCCUCUCGUUGCCCUUUGGGGGUUCUUUUUGUAAUAGCAGCAGGAGGGAGAGAGCCCUCUUUGUGCUCAGUUUCCCUUCCCGUGAGCAAGCUGUCAUUCUUCCUGGCACCUGCUGACCCACAUUCUACAGCCUUGGCUGUGGGGACAUAUCCUCAGACCUGCUCCAGCUCUCCUGGUUGUGGAUUCUCUCUCUCCAUCUCUAUGGUGAACUCCCGGAAAGCAGGCAACCAGUGACCCGGUCCCUCCUGUUCCUCUGCAAUCCCUCUCACAGCGAUGGGCACACAGUUGGUGCUCAGGGUGAAGUUUAUAGAUAACAGUGGCUAAUCUGACUAAGGCAGGGAAUCAACACUGUUUUCAGUCAUCCGUGUUUCACUCUCUGGAAAGGAGUUCAAGGCUGUGGAGGAGAACAGGCAGUUCAGAACACCUGCAGCCACCCAGCCUCCCCAGUCCACGCUUCGUGGCUCGGAGGCAUCACUACUCAGUUGUUCUUGCAUUCAUCCAGCCCUUCUCAUCCUGCACUGGAGUCAGUGGAGCAAGACCUGCAGAAAAUUCAUUGUCUUGAUGGAGAGACCAAAGUCACGCUAAGUGAGAAGCCUCAGAACGGCGAUGGCAACAGAUGGGUAAAUGUCUUCCAGGCCUGAGGAGCCUCACAUAGGAGAAAAUAGAAAACAGAAAACUCUCUGAAGCUGGGUGGCUGAUCUGUAAGGUGGGUAGUAGCUUUGGAGAUGGAGCGGCAUUUGUAAGGUGAAUGCAGAUGGUGCUAGGAGUUUAGAGGUAAGACCUAGACCUGGGCUAGGAGGGAAAUAGGCAGUGGGUUCUCCACGGUUACCUGGAGACCAAGCUAAAAGACAGG